UACGUAGGGUGCAAGCGUUGUCCGGAAUUAUUGGGCGUAAAGAGCUCGUAGGCGGCUUGUAGCGUCGGCUGUGAAAACCUGGGGCUCAACCCCGGGCCUGCAGCCGAUACGGGCAAGCUAGAAUUCGGUAGGGGAGACUGGAAUUCCUGGUGUAGCGGUGAAAUGCGCAGAUAUCAGGAGGAACACCGGUGGCGAAGGCGGGUCUCUGGGCCGAUAUUGACGCUGAGGAGCGAAAGCGUGGGGAGCGAACAGG
rnacentral:rRNA from 1 species